UCACCCCUCAAGCUCAGCUUGGUGUUGGGCAACGCGGUCCGCCGCGUGCCUCAAAUCGACCGGCUGGGUCUUCUGUCCCCUAAGCGUUGUGGAAACUAUUCGCUAAAGGGUGUUCGGGAGGCUACGCCGUAAAACAACCCCAUUUCUAA
rnacentral:misc_RNA from 1 species